rnacentral:sRNA from 2 species
CCUCCUAUCGCGCCGAGCUCCAUCCACUAGGCGGGGAUCACCGACCAAAAAGGGAUGGAGGCGGGGGACCCACCGGUCCACCGUGAUCGGACUGGAGUCGCUUGCGGCUCCUAGGGGUGAAGCCGACGCCGGCUCCCAUGCGGAGUACGGCGACGGCCGGGUGGCCUCUCCAACCCGAACCCGACAGCUGACCUCGUAGGCGCGUCACACGAGAGGAAUA